rnacentral:tRNA from 1 species
GCCUCCAUGGCCCAAUGGAUAAGGCGCUGGUCUACGGAACCAGAGAUUCUGGGUUCUAUCCCUAGUGGAGUCG